rnacentral:rRNA from 1 species
CCAUUUCAUAGGAGGAGCAGGCGCGCAAUUACCCAAUCCUGACUCAGGGAGGUAGUGACAAGAAAUAACAAUAAACCGGCUUAUGCCGGUUUAAUUGGAAUGAGUACAAUUUAAACAUCUUAACGAGGAACAAUUGGAGGGCAAGUCUGGUGCCAGCAGCCGCGGUAAUUCCAGCUCCAAUAGCGUAUACUAAAGUUGUUGCAGUUAAAAAGCUCGUAGUUGGAUUUCUGUGGGGACGGAGCGGCCGGCCGCACAUCGCGGUUCGAGCUAGCGCUUUCCCUACAUCCUGCCGCGAACCGUGCUACCAUUAAUUUGGUGGCGCCGGGGAUCGGCUCGAUUACUUUGAGAAAAAUAGAGUGUUCAAAGCAGGCCACAUGCCUUGAAUAAGUUAGCAUGGAAUAAUAACUAAGGACUUCGGUUCUAUUUUGUUGGUGUUCGGGACUGAAGUAAUGAUUGAUAGGGACAGUUGGGGCGGUCUGUAUUCCAAAGCGAGAGGUGAAAUUCUUAGACCUUCGGAAGACAAACAGCUGCGAAAGCGUUCCGCAAGGAUGUUCCCUUUGAUCAAGAACGAAAGUUGGGGGAUCGAAGACGAUCAGAUACCGUCGUAGUCUCAACUAUAAACUAUACCAGCUAGGGAUCGGCCAACGUUAUUUUACACCGACUUGGUCGGCACCUUAUGAGAAAUCAAAGCAUCUGGGUUCCGGGGGGAGUAUGGUCGCAAGGCUGAAACUUAAAGGAAUUGACGGAAGGGCACCACCAGCCGUGGAGCCUGUGGCUUAAUUUGACUCAACACGGGAAAACUUACCAGGUCCAGACAUAGUAAGGAUUGACAGAUUGAUAGCUCUUUCUUGAUUCUGUGGGUGGUGGUGCAUGGCCGUUCUUAGUUGGUGGAGUGAUUUGUCUGGUUAAUUCCGUUAACGAACGAGACCCCAGCCUGCUAAAUAGCGCGAGUGAGCUUUGCUCGCUGCGAGCUUCUUAGAGGGACUAUGAUGCGCGAUAGCACAUGGAAGUUUGGGGCAAUAACAGGUCUGUGAUGCCCUUAGAUGUUCUGGGCCGCACACGGGCUACACUGGCGCCUGCAACGAGCAUAUCAGCUGGCCCGAGAGGGUCUUGGCUAAUCUUUUGAACCGGCGCCGUGCUUGGGAUUGACCUUUGCAAUUGUUGGUCAUGCAACGAGGAAUGCCUUGUAAACGCGAGUCAUCAGCUCGCAUUGAAUACGUCCCUGCCCUUUGUACACACCGCCCGUCGCUCCUACCGAUGAAUGUUCCGAUGAAAUUUUCGGAGAGCACCUGUGAACUUGGCUCUGCCUUGCGAACGGGAGGCUCAAAGUCACAUAAAUCUGAAACAUUGA